rnacentral:tRNA from 2 species
UUUCUCCACUUUCCAUAAAGGAGCCGAAUGAAACUAAACCAAGCUAACGAUGCGGGUUCGAUUCCCGCUACCCGCU